rnacentral:lncRNA from 1 species
AUAGCAUCUGUAGCAGUAGACUUUUCCAACAACUUUAACGAUCAAGGAAUGAUGAGGAGGAUAGUAAGGAGUUGGGGGUGGUGGUGAAGUGUAGUAGUAAGGUGGAGGAGGUGACUUAACUGGUGGUGGAGGGGAGGAGUAGUAGUAAGGUGGAGGAGGUGACUUAACUGGUGGGGGAGGGGAGGAGUAGUAGUAAGGAGGAGGAGGUGACUUAACUGGUGGUGGAGGGGAAGAGUAGUAGUACGGUGGUGGAGGUGACUUAACUGGUGGUGGAGGAGAGGAGUAGUAGUACGGUGGAGGAGGUGACUUAACUGGUGGUGGAGGGGAGGAGUAGUAGUACGGUGGAGGAGGUGACUUAGCAGGUGGUGGUGGGGACUUGUAAUAGUAAGGUGGUGGGGGAGAGGGUGAAGGGGGUGGUGGUGAUUUAUAGUAGUAUGGUGGAGGUGGUGAUGGAGAAGGUGGUGGGGGAGACUUGUAAUAAUAAGGUGGAGGUGGUGAAGGUGAAGGUGGUGGCGGGGAUUUGUAGUAAUAUGGUGGUGGAGGUGAUGGUGAAGGAGGUGGUGGUGAUUUAUAUACAUAUGGUGGUGGUGGAGAUGGUGAUGGAGGUGGUGGCGACUUGUACACAUACGGCGG